GGGGAAGAUGGUGGAGGACGGCGCGGAGGAGCUGGAGGAUCUGGUGCACUUCUCCGUGUCUGAGUUGCCUAGUCGCGGCUACGGCGUCAUGGAGGAGAUCCGGCGGCAGGGCAAGCUGUGCGACGUGACCCUCAAGAGCUUUGCUGUUCCUUGAUCAUCAGUCCGAAAGGCAGUAUCACACAGACUCUGCAGCCACACUGCCUGCGUUUGAGUUCUGGGUCUGCCACUUGUUAGCUGUGAAAAUGAGCAGCUUCCUUAAACACUGGUGAUUCUCUGUCUCGUCUGUAAAAUGCACAUCACCACCUACUUGAGUGCUGAGGAUUCAAUUAGUUAAUGUACUUCAAAUAAUCAUGUAGUAAAUGCUCAGUAGUGUGU
rnacentral:sRNA from 1 species